rnacentral:lncRNA from 1 species
UUUUGAUUCCCCUCAUACAAACACCACCUUGAUCAACAACUACAAGUGUUUCCACUUGUUGGUGGAAGCUAGUUCCCACCCAUCUCUGUCCUAAAUUUCGUGUUUUCUCUCUAUCCUGCUUCUGUCACUCUAUUUCAUUGAUUUAUUGCAUUCUUGAAAACUGUUCGUUCAUUCCAAGCAACCUCCCCACAGACCAGAAUCUCUUUUCGGUCACCGUAUAUCUCUAUUUUCGCCGACACCCUACCUACAAUUUUUUCUUAUUUAGACCGAGACAUGUGCUAAGAACUGAUCAAAAGCUAAACUGACUGAUCCUCAGAAUUAUUCAAACACCUCUCUGUACAUUUUCUAUGUUUUUAACCAUCACCAAGUAGCAAGUGUGCCAGCCAUCAUUCAUUGCUAAUCAGAUCAAGUGUUGGUUAUAACUUUGAACUACUGACUGCCGCUUAUAACUAACUUCCAUCACAACUGCGUUGUCUCUUCAUGCCGAUUGUUGAAUAGUCAAAUUUUGCCCUUUAGUUAACGGUGUAUUUCUCAAAAAUGUUACCUAUGGAUACUUCAACUCUUCCAGCUAUGGUGCAGAAACCUGCAACACUUCUGGGAAAUAAGCUUUUUCAG